rnacentral:lncRNA from 1 species
AUGGUAAACCAUGUUGGUUACAGCCCUUAGCUACCAGAGAUCCAUGACGUUUGGGGGUUUGCCCAUGGUAGUGUUUUCCAAAGUAAAACACGUAGUGUGGGUGUAAGUAUCCAAAGGCUUGUAGUAACUUUUGUUGAAGGAGCAUUAAAGAUAAUUCAGAUGGCACAUAAAUUAUUAAUAAUGAUUUAAGUUUGAAGUUAUACAUUGACUACCCAUCAGGAUAUUUGAUGAGAAUAUUUUUUUAAAGAACAUAAAGCUUUUGAAAUGAUGGUAAUGGAAACAUAUAUAUAUAGAAUAACUUAUGACCACCACCUACAACCCUAUAAAAUUGUGUAUUGUUUGUUUGUAUGUUUUAAGUCUGUCAGAUUGUUUCUCUGUCCUGCUUCUAUCUUUGAGAUCUUUAAUACAAUGUGUUCUACCUUAUAGCUCAAAUAACCAGUCAAGGUGUCCUAAAAGUAGAAUAACUCUAGACUUGAAAGAUUUCAUAAGGUAUUUUCUUUUUCCUUACAAUGAAGUAUUGUGUUAUCAUGAGGACCCAAGGUGCUCUGUAAACUGUAAAGUUCUAGGCAGAUAUGAGGUAUCAAUAUUAUUAGGUCAAUCUAAAUUGUUAAGCUUUAGAGAUGCAUCCUUAAUCCCAAGAGUCUAAAUUGCCCACUUUAUGUUUUCCAAAAAAGGGGUACCUUAAUUAUUCAAAUGAUAUGUCAAUUGUCCAUGAAGAGAAAUACUGAAUCAUAUGGAGAAGGCCUAGGGAAAUUGGGACAUCUUAAAUACAAAAAUGGUGAAUUGGAAGAUACACUGGCUAUUAUCUGUCCUUUUACUUGCUUCUCAUGGGAAAUUAUAUAGGAAAUGUAUCCCAAAUGUUAUUUUAAGUAUAUUAAUGCAUUCUUUUAGCUUAUAAGGGAACUACCAUAGACUGUGCCCAAGUCAAGUAUAUUGCCGUGAAAUGGAAACAGUCCUUAUGCAAAAUCUGCAGGCCAGACAGAACAGAGUUGAGAAGAGAGGAAAAGGGACAAAUGCAUUUGACAAAUACUUUGCAAGUCAAAUCCCAUAGUUUGCCAAGAUCGAGAAGUGGCCCAGUUGGAAACAGAGGAAGAGAUUAUUGCAUUUCAGUUCAAAAAAAAAAAAAAAUAGAAAUCAUUAACAUUUAACUGGACCUUGGUAUUUUCUUUUCUCUGAAAGAAACUAAUUCAGUGGUCAUUUGUGGGUGCGAAGAACAGCAGAGACUCUCCCCUCCCCUUGUCCUAGAGGCAUUUAUCACUAAAAUUGCUCAAUUCUGAAAAGCCUUAGGGUUCCAGUUGGCCGUUACUGUAUGAGUACUAUUUUUACUAUCCACAACUAGAAGGUAGUUUUCUUUAUUGCCUAGAUGCAAUAUCCUUUCUGUAUAAGUAACUUUACAAUAAAGUUAGCCAAUGCUUACUCUGUCUAGUCUAGAAUUUUUCAUCGCUUUCCCAAAAAUAUUACUUCAAUUUUAGAAUGAUAAAAAUUCAAGAAAUUACUAACUCAUGACUAUACAUCAAAUAAAUACUUUCCCUUUCUGUGGGAAAGAAAUACAAAUGCACAAGUUGGUUUUGGGCAGACACAACUAUUUUUCCAAUAGAAAUAAACCACAAUGGAAGGCAAGUAAUUUUUCUAAAUAUUUAUAAGUAUCUUAAUUCAUUCAAAAUAUGGCAAUCAUGUGAUGAAAUGUCACCCCUCUAUGAAUCUGUUUCCAAAAUUAUCUGCACAUGUGAGGAAAACUCCAAUGCAUUUUAUUCUAACUCAGAUAAUCUUAUCUGAAAAGAAAGCCUGAUGCCAUUUAUAGAUCCUGUGCUUCAUAAAGGACCUACCAUCAUUUCAGCUGAAUUUGAGAAGAGUAUAUUAUUAUAACAAUAUUGCCAGGGUCUUAAAACCUAGUAGAUGUGAAUGAUCAGCCAUGUAAAUAUGACUGGUACUGAAGGCCCUAACAUGGAACGCAAUAUCAUUCGAAUCCACUACAAUUAACAGAAAGAGAAUUCAAUAAAUAGUCCAACAAGAAGUCCUUGUGAAUCUUCCGCACAGAGGCUAAGAGGCUAUUUAUAGCAUCGAACUAGAAACCUCAUUAAACCAGUGAGAGCCUAUACUAUGAAUUUCUUUUUGUGGAGUUCUUCUGUUCAGUGACAGCAGGUUUUUUUCCAAGACAUUUUCCCUUUGUUUUUUUUCCUUUAAGUUUGCAUCUGUAGGCGGCUUACCAGUCAAUUCAGUGAAAAAUGAGAAAAAGCAGUUGUUUCAUCAAAUUGACUGGUUGGUUGUUAAAACAGUUGAUCCCGUGACCUCUUUACAUGCAGACACUGACUUUUUCUGUGAACCCGGGACAUGACCUCUGUUGUUUCAGCUAAAGCAAUCGGACUUGCUUUGGGGUCUGACUCAAAACAGCAUUGACAAGGUGGGAAGAGAAAAAACAUAUACAUACGUAUUUAUUCAUACGUAACACUGACUUGUACCACCCAUAAUAUGAUUGACUUUUAAAUAACCUUGGUAGAUUGAAAGACUGGUCAGAAAUAGGUAGAAUGAAAUUAAAUAAGGAAAAAAAGUAGAGCAAUCCCCUUGGAGUGUGUGGAGGAGGCAGAAUGAGUACAGAGUCCAAGCAAACAUGAUUAAAUUCUAAAGUAAGGAGCAUAAACAGCAGGGACUCACUGAAUUGGGGCUGAGGUAGUGUGGACCCCAGCAGCAGCUGCACCUGGGGAGCCCCAGCUAGGAGGGUCGUGGGGAAUCAUGGGAUCUCAGGGGUGACUUAAGAGAUUCUUAGAACAGAACAGGGAGUGCCCCAUUGUGGUGCAGUGGAAAUGAACCUAACUGGCAUCCAUCUGGAUGAAGGUUCAAUCCCUGGCCUUGCUCAGUGGGUCAGGGAUCCGGCUUGUGGUAAAUUGUGUAGGUCGCAGGUGCAGCUUGGAUCCCACGUUGCUGUAGUGGCUGAAGCAUGGAUUGGCAGCUGUAGCUCAUGUGGGAAAAGCUCAGAUAACAAGUUUGCUUAUUAGAGAGCAGAAGGCCUCCUACAUUUUUAAGACUUUAUAUUUGUUAUGUCUUUGUUAUUUCACUUGACUUCAUGCCUACUUUUCUGGUAGAUGGGAGAGAUAGUCAUUUAUUCCAUUUUUGGAGAUGAAUCAGGUUGGUUCUGAGAAGUUAGGUGGCUUUCCCAAGGCCACUUGCUUAGGGUUGGGCUGCACAGAGAGUCUGUGCAGUCUGGGCUGAGAUCCUCUUCCUCUUGUGUCCAAGUUUUCUCUCCACCUUUUGUGUGGCCCCUGGCAACUCUUUCCUGAGUUUCAGCUCCUCCACCAGGCUCAUGGGGUUUCUGAGGUGGGCUCUCUGGAGGCAGAAGCUGGGACAGAACAUAACUCAUCCAGAGAGCGUGCUUCAUUUCAUGGGAAACGUGUCAACAGGUUUCCAUCCACCUGUAAAGUGUUACCAUGAUUAAGGUCUUUACAAAUAUAAUCAAAUUUCUAAAAAAUUUACCAAGUCUCUACUCAGUAGGGUUAGAUGGGACAGAGACACUGAUGAAAGAAAAUCUACACCCCAGGAAGAACUCACUGUCUAGAGUGAAUUUCAGAUGGGAAACAAAUAUAUUCUAUUAGGAACAUAACAAUAAAAGUAAAAGGGACGCAAAGUUAGCACAAAUAAGUGAUUGAUUAAAUCUGUGGAGAGAGAGGGUCUUGAAGUUUUCAUGGAAGAGAUUAUUUCUGUCUGAUUCAGAAUGACAAGUCGAAAAUUUUCUGGAGGCAAGAUUGGUGAAAGAAACACAAGUAUUCUAGAUAGAGAAGCAGCAGCCUAGAGAAAAGAACUCAUAAAUGUAGUAUGGUUUGAACAAUAUGGAAUUGUGGAAUAUAUAUAUAUAUAUAUAUUAUAGGGAUGUGGUUAAUUAUCUUCACAUAAAACCUAUGAAAUAACUCCUCCUCACUUUACAGAUAAGAAAAGUGAAAAGUGAAAGUCAGUUGUGACUCGCAAGGUCACAGUCAUUGGAGGAGCAGAUCAAGCACUUCUAACCCCUGCACCAGAUCUCUAGACUACAGUGAGCUCAAAUGUCUUGCUUAAGAUUUUACAUUUCACUCCACACCUGUGGCUCAGUGGCUCUCAGACUUUAGCCUGCAUCAGAAUCACCUGGAAGGUUUGCUAACAUGCAGAUUUCUGGGUCCACUCCCAGAUUUUCUUAUUCUUCUGUAAGUCUGGGCUUGGGUCCAAGAAUUAGUUUCUACCACUUCCCAGGUGCUGCUGAUGCUGCUGAUCCUUGGACCACCCUUGGAGACUUUCGGCCCAAGAAAAUAGGCAAGGGGUGAGGCAAUUGACCCAGAGAUGAGCUGUGGUCAGGUGAAGUGUUCAGGUACGUGCCCAAGGCAGUGGUCAAGGGGAUGGGACAAGGUGUAACCCACGCUGUGGCAGCAGAAGGAAAGCAGAGCCUACGUGAGGACAGACUUGGCACUGGCUGUGACAGGUAAUAGGUUAUAGGGGAAGGGGAUCUCUGUCAUCUUACUAUCCUCUGGAGAAACACCCUGACCAACUCUUCCUUCUGUAAAUUGAAGUUUACAUGAAUGCCUUCUUCAUGAGGUCUUUGUGGAAAUCAAAGGGCUUAAACCCACAAGGAAAUUAGCAUCUAUAAGCUCAGCACAGUGAAGUAUUUAGCAAAUAGUAAUUAUUAUUAUGGGAGAGAGGGAAUCUGGGUUAACUCCAGGCAGUUUCUGGCUUUGAAGCCUAGGCUGCUUUGCUGGGCUUUUAUGGAUUAUUCCACACAGGUUUAUACUUCUGGUUCUUCAUUUAUGUCUGUCCUGCAUUCCAUUCAGCCCCCAAUUCCUACGCCGGGGUGCAUGUGGGAGGGGAAGAGGGGUGGCAGGAGUUGAAGCCAGGCCAGGAGCCAGCAGAGCCCAAGCUUUUUACUGAACAUUGUACAGAAAAAGAAGCGGGGGUAAACGUCCAUAAUUUUUAAAGUUGAUCUGUAGGCACCUCUUCCUGCUCUCCCAUCCUUCAUCCCUCUCACUGUAUGAAGAAAUCUUGUGGCUUUUAAUCUAAUGUGUUCACAUCUUGUUUGUUCACGUGGUCUCUUGAGAAUCUGUUUGCGUGAAAAUGUGAGAGAUGGGUUUUUAAAGGAAAUGAACGUGACAAUGUCAGUGGCACACGUUAGAUUUCUUAGGCAAUCCUCCCUUAAAUGCAUUAAAGUACACACUGUGCAUUGAGAACUAGCUUGUAUCAUGAGUAAUCUAACUGAUGGAAAGCCGAUAUUCCCUUUUUUUGCUUUUUGGUUUUAUUUUUUUGUCUUUUUGCCUUUUUGAGGGCCGCCUCCCUGGGCAUAGAGGUUCCCAGGCUAGGGGUCCAAUCGGAGCUGUAGCUGCCGGCCUACGCCAGAGCCACAACAAAGCGGGAUCCGAUCCGCGUCUGCAAACUACACCACGGCUCAUGGCAACAUCUAGAUCCUUAACCCCCUGAGCAAGGCCAGGGAUCGAACCCGCAACCUCAUGGUUCCUAGUCAGAUUUGUUAACCACUGCACCACGACAGGAACUCCA